GUGAAAGCCUUUGCACUGCCCUGCCCCUCCCCAAGCCACAGGGUUCCCCUUUGAGCACAUUCAUUUGUUAGUUUUCUUUUGAAGUUAAUGGCAGGAUGUGGCUCCUUGUCUGUAUUUUCACAGGCGUCAUAAUUACUUGUUGAAUGUUUUGAGGGGUCAGAGUAGGGAAACACAGGUAGAUUUGCUACUGCAAAAGUCUGAUGGCUUCCAGUUUGUGUUCCAUAAGGUGUUUGGCAUUUUAUAUGGACCUCCAGACCGUGGGUCCAUUUUAGAGGAAUGCUAGGCUUCUGUGUGUGUAAUCAAAAUAGCACACACAAGGAUUAUCCUGUUUUCUGAUGCCAGGUGAGAAGAGUUCAGCAGGUGCUGAAAACGAGACCUUUACAUUGCGUGGAGGAGAGAGACAGGCACCCCAAGGCUCUUUGCUGCAACCACCAGGAAGGCUGUUUCUGCUUGUGAACUUUCCUCAAGCCACUGGUGUGGUCUUUGCAACCUACUCCAAGCUGUGGAGAACCCUGAAUGAGCUAAUUGCGGGCCAUCAACAUUCAUCUUUCUCCUUUAGCAGGCUGUAUGUUUCACCUCAUCCUGCAUACCCUAGAACUGCACAGAGCAUCCUCUGGAGCUCUGUGGAACUCAGUCAUGGUUCUAGCCCAAGCCUUCACCAAGUAAUUCAAGAAGAGAUGGUUGUUACACAUUUGUAUAACCGAAGUUCACAAUCUCAUGAAGCCUGAGCUGCUUCUGCUGCUUGGUUCUGCUGCUGCCAACACAUUGCAUGAAUUACUUAGCUGCUCUCAACCUCCAUUCUGUCAGCAGAAGAGUGGUGAGAUUGAUAAUCCAAUACUAGUGAUUAUAGUGGUCUCUUUCAACCUUAAUGAUUCUAUGUUUCUAUACCUAUUAAGGCAAACCAUUUUUAAGGUUCUGACAUAGAGAAAAACAGAGCAGAAGGACAAAACCCCUCCCAAAUAUUUUCUAGUCUGAUGGCAUUUUUUCUGACCAUCGUUGACCACAUGUUUGGAAACAUUUCCUAAACAUGACUACAUCGGAGAUGACCACCAGUUCAACAGAAGCAUUGCAUGGCUUGUGUUUGCCACUUGCAGCCAAUCGUAGCCCUGCUGACCCCCCUGAGCUGCAGCAGACUCACUGCGUGACCAUGCUGUUCAGCGUGCUGUGGGGCUGUCAGCUCCUCAGUGGACCAGAAGGGACUACUGCCUGCAGAAAAAUACUUGUACCAGCAC
rnacentral:lncRNA from 1 species